rnacentral:rRNA from 1 species
AGUGAACGCUGGCGGUAGGCCUAACACAUGCAAGUCGAACGGCAGCACAGUAAGAGCUUGCUCUUACGGGUGGCGAGUGGCGGACGGGUGAGGAAUACAUCGGAAUCUACUUUUUCGUGGGGGAUAACGUAGGGAAACUUACGCUAAUACCGCAUACGACCUACGGGUGAAAGCAGGGGAUCUUCGGACCUUGCGCGAUUGAAUGAGCCGAUGUCGGAUUAGCUGGUUGGCGGGGUAAAGGCCCACCAAGGCGACGAUCCGUAGCUGGUCUGAGAGGAUGAUCAGCCACACUGGAACUGAGACACGGUCCAGACUCCUACGGGAGGCAGCAGUGGGGAAUAUUGGACAAUGGGCGCAAGCCUGAUCCAGCCAUACCGCGUGGGUGAAGAAGGCCUUCGGGUUGUAAAGCCCUUCUGUUGGGAAAGAAAAGCAGCAGGUUAAUACCCCGCUGUUCUGACGGUACCCAAAGAAUAAGCACCGGCUAACUUCGUG